rnacentral:misc_RNA from 1 species
GUGAACUUUGCACACGCGCCGAGCCUUCGUGGGCGGCGGGCGGGCGGGCUGCCUGCGGGCUGCCUGCCUGUCUGUCUGUCUGCCCACACUGGGUUGCGAUAAAAGUGUUUUGAACUUGGGAAAAUCCGCGCCGGGUCGUCGGUGCUGGUUGACCACCAAAAAAAAACGGUGUUAAAAAACAGUGUUAACAACCAAAAUUAUUGCGGGAAAAAACCAUGA